GCCGUGUAGAAGUGAUACGUGCCUGCCUGCCUGCCUGCCUGGGUUACUGCUGUUGCCGUUGAAGCAGAUCGGUCUUUGUUUCGUUUGCGUUUUACUACCUGUUUUUCGUGGUUGCCCUUAGGGCUCUUGUCUCCUGUGGUGCGUCCGUGCGUGCGUGUAAAUUGGUUCGGUUUAUGUGUAAUGCCAGUGCGUCCCCGUGUGUGUGUGUGUGUGUGUGUGUGUGUGUGUGAGAGAGAGAGAGAGAGAGAGCGCCUUGCAUGGGUCUGUUUUGAAGAACGAACUGUAAUGCUGAGUUCAUGUAAUGCACCGGAGCAACGCAGCUGCACGCACUUCGUGUAACGCUCAAGAAAGAAAAGAAUACCUGCCACUCACUUUCUCAAGGUUGGAAUUCAUCUUCUGACCAGCGACUUUUGUUUGUCAUGUGUAAGUGGGAUUGUUUUGGCUUCGGACUUAGUGGAGGAUGCUGGUAAGUUGCUAAUUGCCUAACUUCCACAUGGACAUGGUGGUGCGCACACCGGAGACCGGCCGGUUCGUGUGCCCGACGGACGCAGUGAACCAAGAGCAACAUUAUACUGGCCGAGAAAUCGCCUACAGCUGAAUCAAUGGCGUGUCGGGUGUGCUCGCCCAUUGGCGCACACAUGGUUCGCUAGCUCCACGAGCCUACUACGAUUUCUGUUCUCCAUCACCUUUCUUUUUCACUAUGCACGGUUUGAAAAAUGUUCACAAAGUAGAAAAUUUGUUAGCGAAAUUAAAAAUUGUUCAUGAAUUUGAAAAAGGGGCCACAACAUAAUAAAUAAAAUCAUGAAUUUUUAAAAAGUUUGUAAUGUUAAAAAACAAUUGGGUUCGAAUCAAUGUUCAUGAAUUUAAAAAAUGUUUGUGACAUCCAAAAAAUGUUCAUGAAUUUAAAAAAUGUUUGUGACAUCCAAAAAAUGUUCAUGAAUUUAAAAAAUGUUUGUGACAUCCAAAAAAUGUUCACGGAAUAAAAUAAUGUUGCCGGAUUCUAGAAAUGUUCACAGAAUAAAAACUUGUUCAUAAAUCUGAAAAAUAUUCCCGAAUACGAAAUACACCUAGGGAAUUAAAACAUUAUUGUGAAUUCAAAAAAAGUUUGUGAAUAUGAAAAAUGUUCAUGAAUUUGGAUUUUUUUGGAUUCAAGAACAUGUUCGUGAAUUCAAAAUUUACUUUUGAAGUCAUAAAUUCAAAAUUAAUUCAGGAAUAAGAAUAAUAUUCACGAAUUCAGAAAACUAUUCGCAAAUUCAAAAAUUAUUUAGGAAUUUGAAAAAUAUUCAUAUAAAUGCAAAUAAUGAAAAAACCAGAAGGAAACCAAAAUAAGCUAUGGAGAACAUAAAAUGAAAAACAAAUAAAAAAGUGAAGCACAAAGAAAAAUUAAAAGUAGAAGAAAACCGGAAACAACAAAUGGAAAAAACAAAAAAGCCCAUAAACAUAAAGAAAAACGAAAAAUCAGAGAAAACACAAAGAGCAAACGAAUAAAAUACCGAAAAAAAUCAGUGUGAAAACACAUGGAAGCUUCCCAAUAUAAUCCUAGAAGGUUCCAAAACUGUUCCCUCAUAGAACAAACGCUUCGCACUUCCCAAAUUCAAAAAUUAUUCAGGAAUUAAAAAAAGUUCAUGAAAAAAUGUUCGCUCAUAUCAUACCCUACAUAACAAGCGAGUGCUAUGAUACGUAUCACUAUAAGAUAUACAUAUCAUUUGCGACUGUUAUAUCUCGCUUGCUGCAACACCACUGUUGCAGCACUCGCCAACCCGCUUUUUUGAGUGGGCCGGCCGAACAGGGGUUGGUUGCGAGCGGUUUUUGGCGCACUGGUUUUUAGAACCUUUUGUUUGGAUCUGCAAUGAUUUUGAUGGUUUCUUUUCCUUUUUAUCUUUUCUUUAUGUUUUCCUUAAAUCAUUUUUUCAUUUUUUUUCUUUUUUCACCCUUUUAUCUAUCCUUUUCAAAUUUAUGAAUUGAUUUAAUCCUCUCAGUUUUAGUGUACGACCAUUCUGCUACAUGUCACGAACACUUUUUAAAAAUUGCAGGAAGAAAUUAUAUAUUUUCAUGAACAUUUUUCCAAAUGGCACAAGCAAUUUAAUAUAUGUAGUAUGAGUGUUUUAUAAAAAUUAAUCAACUGAAAUUUUAAAAAUUCAUGAGCAUUUUCAAAAAUAUGAACAUAUUUUUAAACAUGUAAUGUUUUUAGAAAUGCCAUGACUUUUUUUUAAAGGUAUGAAGACUUUUAUAAAUCAUGCGAACAUUUUUUACAUUUCCAUUUUCUUGUAAAUAUCAUGAAAAUAUUUUAGACGUGUGAACAUUUUUCAAAUGUCCGGAUUUAUUUAAUGAAUUGUACACACAUUGUUUUAAAAUUGCUCGAGUAAAAUUUUAGGUUCCAAGAACCAUUUUUUAUGGAUCGGUAAACAUUUUCUUAAUACUCAAUAAACAUUUAUUUUACAUGACAAUUUUUUUCUUAAUAGACGAUGAGAAUUUUCACAUAAAAUUAGUGAGAUAAGCAAAUAGGUAUGAUGCAAAAAAUUUAGAAAAAAUAAGUGUUGUAGUGAUGACUUUAAUCCUAGUUGAGGUCCCACCUCCUAUUCUACAUGGCUUGCCAUGUGGAGAGUCAAGAUUAGUUAAAGUAGUCGACAAUAGUCGAAGCCAUCCCUCAUAGGUCAAGCAAGGCUUAAUGGUUAACAAGUCAACAUAACAAGACCAGGUAAAAGAAUAAGCCUAAGAUAAAUCGUAAGGAGCUAAGAGGCCCGAGACCAAGCAGGGAAGCCCCCAAAUAGCGUAGGGAUUCUUCCCUUACUGGGGCACAACCCACCUGCUAACCCAACUAGGGGCACAUGGGCAUAUGGGUCAAUAAUAGAAAAUUACCUAGUUCUAACCACCCCCAAAAAAACCUAGUUCUACCCUCGCACCAGCUUACAUCGAGGGUAACAUUGGUCAUUUGUCAAGGACGCCUGGUCCAUAUACCCGCCCUCCCGGCAUGUAAAUCACUCACUCACACUUGAAUAAACUCAAGAGGCGGGUCAUUAUCCCCUAAAAAAACUCAAGAGGAGGGUCACUCUUCCCUGCUACCUCUCUCAAAAGAGCUGGGAAGGUUGAGAUUUAGAGUGUGAGGGACCUUCCAAGGCCCAGACUAGUCGGGAGUCGUGGGACUUAGAACGACGAUACUCCAAGCAUUCUACGCGUCAGGCACCACUCUCGACGAUCAUCCCAUAAGACGUAGUCUGUGCUCCCACAACGCCCGGGUUACUACUAUUACCGUUGAAGCAGAUCGGUCUUUAUUUCUUUUGCGUUUUACUACUACGUAACUUUUUUUCAUGGUUGCCCUUAGGGUUAUGUUUCUUGUGAGCGUGUGUAAAUUGGUUCGGUUGAUUGUACGUCGUAGAGGCCAUUCGUCCGUCCGCGUGUGUGUUUGAGCUUUGCCAGGGUCUGUUUUGAAGAAUGAACUGUGAUGUUGAGUUCAUGUGUAAUGCACGAGAGCAACACAGCUGCACGCACUUCGUGUAAUGCUCAAGAAAGAAAGAUUAUCUACCACUAAAAUUCUAAAGGUUAGAAUUCAUCUUCUAACCAGCGACUUUGUUUUUCAUGUGUAAGUGGGAUUGUUUUGGCUUCGGACUUUUGGAGAGGGUGUAGGGGAGAGUUAAAUGCACCGACUCACCACUGUCAUGUCACGAUUAGCGUAAAACCACCAAUUUAUGAUUCAUGACAUUUUGCAUUGAACCGAAAAUUUGUGAGUGGCAAAAGGCACCGAGCUAAAAACUGAGCUCGUUUUGACGUGGUAAAGCGGUCACGUGGCUAGUGGUGGACAGACCAAGCAGUAAUGGCUAUUAACGGCCAUACCGGCUGAGUUGGUCGACCCGUCCCCAAAAAUGAAAUGGUUCACACUCUCCCCUGCCACUCUCACUCGCUCCCCUCUGGGCCGCCGCCUCCCAGCAGCGCUGUGGGGGUGUAAUGCUUUCUUGGAAAGAUGGGGAGGAGAGUAGGGACGAUGAUAACAUGCUACACUUUGCUGGGGAGGUAAUGCCGCCGUAGCUGUUGUACUUUGUUUGAUAGCCUAGGGUUAGGGUUAUGGAUUUCAGAUUGGGGAUUUUAUUUUUGGUAUGAUUUGGUCAGGAUCCAGUGCGUUUGACCACUCCAAAUUCCUUUUGAACUCAAUCUAGCUGCUCCUAACCAUAGAUGACUCAGACUUUGAAGGCGAUAUGGUGACAGAGGAGGGCCUAGUUGAGUGCUACCAUCGGAAAAUAGCCAAUAUAUUUGUAGAUUUGAAGGUGGCAUUAGUGGAAGGAGGUUUUAUGGAUAUGGUGAGGAAGUAAGUUGCAAUGCAUGUCCUGAUUUACUUAUCUGAAAUCCCAUGUUAACUCCUCUGUUCUCUAGCUGUUUGCAUUUUGUAUUAAUUUAGUUAUUUCUGUUGUACCAUUGUAAUGGUUAAUGGUCACAUUGGUCUGAAAAAGAGCUUAGGCAGAGAUAUCCUUAAUCAGAGAUAUCCUAAAGAUUGUUGUGCUGCUAGAACUAAUGAAGGGGUUGAUCAUGCACAUUUACUGCUUAAGCUUGAAGAUCGGGUUAAGACUGCAAACAUACAUUGCAAGAACCUUAUUGCUGAUGUUAACAAAAUGCUCAAGCAAUGUGCAAAAGACCUAUCAAGAAAAUUACAAGAAAAUAAUGUCAUAGGACAAUGAAGGUUUGGAGAAGUAGCUGGACCAGAAGCAUUAUGUCAUAGAGAAUAUGAAGGCCAUUCAUAAUGCACAAGGAGAACUGAUCAGGAACCUAAGGACUGAGCUGCAUGAGCUGCGGAAGGAUAGGGAUAUCAAUGGACUCAAGAAGAAAAUGUAUGUGCUGAAGAGUGACCUCAAAGACCACAAGAAGGAUAGGAAAUGGCUAAAGAAGGACCAGAUUGAGGUGAUGCAGGAGAGAGAUGAGCUGAAGAUGGAGAAGAAGAAUCUGGAGAUAGCCAUUUUGUUGGGGAUAUGCCCUAGAGGCAAUCAUGUAUGAUGAUAUUUCCUAUGUGUUUAUGAAUAAAGAUAAUCCUUAGACAUUAUCAAUGAUGUGUAUCAACAAGUACGUGACUUGUUUGUGGGAUUAUGCAUUGUAUGAUGACUGUCUAAAAGGUCCCUAGUCGAAAGGGCUGUGUGGACGUGCAACUGACUAGACUAGCAUAUGACACGGUCGAUGGCUUGGUCUCACUAGCCAUGGAGCACUGGAUGCUAACUGGAUAAUAUGGACUUGAAAGGAAUUGGUCGGAUCCGACUAUGUCGGACCCAAGUUGAGAUAAGGUCCAAGUCGGACAGACCCAACUAUGAGACACAACGAUAAGUCAUUUGUGAGUCUCUAGUACAACAUAUGUUCUAUGUCCUAAGACCUGAGCCGACACAUGCACUCGAGAUGGUGACAGACCUACUUUGGGCCGAGCAAAGCUACUCCGUGACUAGGUAGUUACAAAGGUAGGUUUCGGGCUUGUCCAGACCCAUGAUGCGAGACAGGCUUGAGCAAGAUGGGAUUUGCCCGAGAUAUACAUACGUAGUUCCCUUUUUCCAUUGGUAUGUUACUUGCCCGAGAUCCCAUCGUCGGUAUCUCCAUACCUAGUUCAAUCUCGUUACCGGUAAGUCUCUUUACUCGUUCCGUAAUACAUCAUCUUGUAACUAACUCCUUAGUCGCAUUGAUUGCAAGCUUCUUAUGAUGUUGUAUUACUGACACGGACUAGAGACACCUCUCCGUCACAGGGAGUGACAAAUCCCAAUCUCGAUUCAUGCCAACUCAACAGACACCUUCGGAGAUACCUGUAGAGCAUCUUUAUGAUCACCCAGUUAUGUUGUGAUGUUUUAUAGCACACAAGGUAUUCCUCCGGUAUCCGGGAGUUGCAUGAUCUCAUGGUCGAAGGAAUAUGCAUUUGACAUUAAGAAAGCAGUAGCAACAAAAUGAAUGAUCAUAUGCUAAGAUAAUGGAUGGGUCUUGUCCACCACAUCAUUCUCCUAAUGAUGUUAUCCGUUAUCAAGUGACAACACAUGUCUAUGGUUAGGAAACCUGAACCAUCUUUUGAUCAACGAGCUAGUCUAGUAGAGGCAUACUAGGGACACGAUAUUUGUUUACGUAUCCACACAUGUAUUUAAGUUUCCGGUCAAUACAAUUCUAGCAUGAAUAAUAAACCUUUACCAUGAAUUCAUGAUUAAGGAAAUACAAUAAUAACCAUUUUAUUAUUGCCUCUAGGGCAUAUUUCCAUCAGUCUCCCACUUGCAUAGAGUCAAUAAUCUAAUUCACACCGCCAUGUGAUUAACACCCAAAGAGUUUACUAGAGUCAAUAAUCUAGUUCACAUCGCCAUGUGAUUAACACCCAAAGAGUUCUAAGGUGUGAUCAUGUUUUGCUUGUGAGAGAGGUUUUUAGUCAACGGGUCUGCCGUGUAUACUUUGCAAAUAUCUAUGUCUACAAUGCUUUGCAUAGGGCUACUCUAGCUAAUUGCUCCCAUGUUCAAUUCGUAUCCAGAUUGAGACUCGGAGUCAUCUGGAUCUGUGUCAAAGCUUGCAUUGACGUAACCCUUUACGACGAACUCUUUAUCACCUCCAUAACCGAGAAACAUUUCCUUAGUCCUCUUUAGGUACCUAAGGAUAAUUUUGACCACUGUCUAGUGAUCCACUCCUGGAUCACUGUUGUAUCGCCCUACAAACUUAUGGCAAGACACAGAUCAGGUCGGGUACACAGCAUGACAAACAUUAUAGAACCUAUGGUUGAGGCAUAGGAAAUGACUUUCAUUCUCUCUCUUUCUUCUGCCAUGGUCGGGCUUUGAGUCUUACUCAAUUUCACACCUUGCAAAACAGGCAAGAACCCAUUCUUCGACUGAUCCAUUUUGAACUUCUUCAAAAUCUUAUCAAGGUAUGUGCUUUGUGAAAGUCCUAUUAAGCGUGGAUCUUACCCAGCUUCAGGGCUCUCCGAGGAGAUAACACCCCUACUGCUGCUCUGUGGGGGCUCCGCAUGAUCAUUAUGGCAAAGUGAAUACAAGGUUGCUCCUAGAGCUGUUUCCUGGAGGUAGGAGAGGGCAAGGCUAGCUCCCUCCUUCCUAUAUGAUCGGGUCUAAUGCUAAAGAAGCUAUCCCCCUUGCAUGGGUGCCCCGGGGGGCUUAUAUAGGCCCGCCCCCAGGGAUACAAUGGUAAUCCGGCUGGGCGCGGGUCCCAGCCGUCUGUCUCUCAGGCCGCCGUCUUCUCCACCGACUGCUGGGGCCCGCCGACAGGCCUGGUACUGGAGCCGUGCUUUUAAUGAUGCUGGCUUGGUCAUGGGGUCGUGGCAACAGUGCCACUGCCUGGCGGACGAUCACUGUCGCCAUUCCCCGUCUUGUCUGGUUAAUGGCGUGCAGGGCCCAUGGGAGGGGCCGGCCGACUCCAGGGGCCCGACUCCCACGGGUCCGUCUUUGUGGCGCUCUCGCCGUCUUCUGUACCCCCGCUGACGAGCGGGUCCCGCCGUCUCCGGGCCAUACAGGUAAGCCAUCGUGGGCACAGUGCGCCGCCCAUGGGGGCUGAGGUCAGGGCGGGCAUGGCAACAGUGUCGCGCCAUGAUGGAGAUCUCCAGCGAUACGGCGCACUGUAGCCAUGCCAACCCUUCGUAAGCGGGGCAGGGACGGCCAUGCAGUGACCGUACCCCGCCCCAUCCAUCGUGGCGAAGGCAGGGGGUGGUUGGAGUCGCGGGCCGACUCCCCGUAGUCGGCUUCUCUGGAAGCCGCCAAUAGGAGUCGGCUUAUCACGAAGUCGUCCUUGGGACUCGGCCGUGAGGGAUAGUCGGCGGCCUUGCCACCGACUCCCAGAAGGCGGCUCCUUAUCGCAGAGUCUUGAGGGGCGCAGUCUGCCCCGAUGUUUUGAAAGGUUCUGGGGCUCGGGUUAGCCUACCCGUGGCCCAUUAUUCCGACAGUAGUCCCCGAAGCUGGUGAGGCACCACAGGAGACAUGUCGGGGAACCUCAACAGUUUCAUCUUUUUGGGGGUGGAAUCUUGGCCUCGCCCGCUGUCUUCCUCUAGGCCGACUAGCGGGAGCCGGACCUGCAGAAGGCCGUCUUGCCUCCUUAAAAUUUUUGAAGGUCGCAGCAGAAUCCAGGCAGCGUGUCUGAUAAGCUUCCGGGCAGCCGCCCGUUGCGGAUCCGUCGCGUGGCGCCACGUGGCGGGGUCAGUCUGCCCACCCAUGCGCGCGAUGGGACAGGACCUCAGACGGGGCCCGCCACUACCAUGCCUCAGCACGCGAACGGAUUUGUUGCGGCCGUGCGGACGGUUGGGUUUCCCAUGUCGUAACUGCACGCAGUUACUUCGUGUGGUAAAUCGUGGGGGCCGUGGGGGCUUGGGCACAGUUAAUCCCACGCCCGCCCCAUCGGCUUCUCAGCCCAUGAGCCUAUAAGUAGGCGGGAGGAAGGGGGCGGCGAAGCACGCGCGCCCAUCUCCCCUACUCCCCUUGCUUUCUUCUUGCUUCUUCUUCCUCUUGCUGCCGCCGCACCGAGCCAUGCCACGCUCGCGACGAUGAGUUCUUCCUCCGCCGCCGCACCUCCCACCGUGCGCUCCGGCGUAUGGGACGACUCCGAGGUGGACGACAACCACAUCGAGUUUCUCCGCAAGACGCGCCGCCUCCCCUGCGUGGACCUAGUGCAAGCCCGUGCCGUGCCGGAGAGGGAAAUAUCGCCGGCGCCGGAGGAGGGCGAGCGGGUCGUAUUCCGCUCGCACCUCAUGCGCGGCCUGGGGCUGUCGGCGAGCGGUUUUUUCCGCUCCUUCUUGGAGUUCCACGGGCUUCAGCCGCACCACCUCACUCCGAACACGGUGGUGCUGCUGGCUGCCUUUGCCACCUUAUGCGAAGGCUUCCUCGGUGUUCUCCCCACCAUCGAGCUGUGGGGGGAAUUCUUCCAGUACAAGCUCGGCACGCACGUCGCCGGCGUGCCGGCCCAAUGUGGUGCCUUCAUCGCGAUGCGGAGAUCGACGGCCGACAACCCAUUUCCCACCGUUCCAUUGAUCAAGUCGGUGAAGAUGUGGCAGCGGUCGUAUUUCUACGCGAAGAACGUCGCCCCAGACGGCGAUUGGGUCAAUCUUCCGCCUUACAAAGCCGACGCUCCAGCUGGGAGGCUCCCCAGCUGGUCCCACCGAGUCAAGACGCUGACUCCCACUGGAGCCGCCACCAUUGCGCGACUCCGAGUGCUGACGCAGUCGGAGGGUCUGACUGGGCCGACCUGCUGGCCACCUUCGUGGCGCGCCGAGUCCUCCCGCUCCAAGGCCGACCUCAUCUGAUCUGUCAGAUGAGCGGCCACCGAGACCCGAGUCGGAUGUGCUCCAAGGACAUGCCCCACGUGGAGGUGGCGGACACGGUGAAUUAUAUCGCGAACUGCAGUCUUACGACGGAUUGGUGGUUCGGCAAGGAGCCGUACUCGCGCGCCAACCCCCCGCCUGCUGUAAGUUGUCUCUCUUUUUCUUCUGUCUUCUUUUGCAGCUGAAUCCGACUUCUAAUCUUUUUGGUUUUUUCUCGAGUCAGAACCCGCUCAUCCAGCCCUCAGUCGGCACCACGGGCCCGGCCCAUCAGUUCGUCUCCGACCGGGCGGAGAGCGACGUCGAGGACCCUGACUUGGGGGCGGCGGUGAUGGAGGCCGACGCCGAAGGAGGCGGAGGAGGAGGAGGAGGCUUCAGGCUGUUGGCCACCUUUGCCGACUGGCCUGAUGACGACGCCGAGGGGGAAGUCGUCCCGCACCGCCAACCAAGGGUUGGCCAGCCGGGUGCGAGUUUCUCUGCCGGCUUGGAUGGUUAAGGCGGCGCGAAGAGGCGCCGGGCCGGGCCGAGCUUGCUUGGCGGCCAGUCGAAGAAGCUCAAGGGGGCGGCCGCCGCGACCAAGCGGGAAGAGGUGAUCGCAAAGGCCAACCGCUUCCGUAAGGAAGUGAAGAAGCCGCCACUGGUCUCCGCGUAAGUGCCUCCGCCUUUGUCUUGUUCUCUAUUAGUGAAUUUUGUCCAAAUCUUUUACAUGCCUUCCUCGCUUCAGGGCUCGCCUCACCUUUGAGAGGGUCACCGCCGCCUCCGUCAUGGGGUCGGCCGAGACGUCCGCCACUACUCGGCGGUUUGACCCUGCCGCCGACCUCCGGGAGGCGACGGAGCGGAAUGCGCGGGAGAAGCGCGACGAGGACGAAGCCGCUCGCUUGGAGAAGGCGGAGGCCGAGAAGGUGGCGGCUUCCGCCCAGAGGAAGCUGGAUGAGGCCGAAGCCACCGUUGCGGCAAGGCGGCUAGCUGAGGAGGCCGCGCACCGCCAAUCGGCGCUGCUUGUCGUUCCGCUAAACUCCGUGCCGCCGCCCCCGGAGUUCAUGGGGCAGACUGGGGAAGCCGGCGGCGAGCACCCUAUCAUGGAGAAGGAAAGCGGCGAGGCCUCCAUGUUGGACACGGCCGUGCCGCCUCCGCCGCCAUCUGGGAGCGUGCGAGGUAAACAGCCGGUGGGCCCACCACUGCCGCCGACUGCGGACGAGUCCGAGGCGAGGCUGCUCCUUCAAGUCGCCUCGCCAGCGCGCCGCCGCCUCGUGAAGGCGACUUCGGCGCCACGCCCGUUGGAGACCGGUGCCGCCAGCUCAGCCAUCCCAAACGCUGAGGCAACGAGUGCCGUGCCCGUUGGGUGGGUGCGAGGAGGCGGCACAGGCCCGUUGAACCAGGCGCUUCUGGAUGUUCAGGCGAAACUGCGAGCCGAGGGCGACGCCAUCCAGAACUGCACCAAGGCGCAUCUGGCGUCGCGAGUAGCCGUCCGGGUAUGCUUUAUUUGACUUUGUUUUUUCCUUGCUCUUCUCUGUGGGGGCACGCCAGCGCACCCACUGGGUGUAGUCCCCGAGUUUCGGGCCGGCUACUGAACAGGCGGCCCGGAACUCCUUUUGGCGAGUUCCAAUACUUAUCUUCGUCUGGAAAUUCUUAUUACAGGAGUAUCACAACCUCCGCGUCACUGCGUUCAACCGCAAUGUCGAGGAGCUGGGCAGGCGGACUGCCGACUUGUCAGAGAGUCGGAGUGAGUCCUCCUUCUUCUUCGCGGGGGCGCGCUGGCGCACCCGCGGGCUGUAGUCCCCGAGAUUCGGGCCGACUGCUGAGCAGUCGAGCCGGAUCUUCCCGGCGACCUUCUUUGUUGACGACUUAACGUCUUUUCCUUUUUAUUCUUCAGAGGCCAACGCCACUCUUCAGCAGCAGCUGGGCGAGGCCAACACCGCCUUGCGUGCCAAGGGGGAGGAGUGCAGCAAACUCACCGCGGAGCGCGACCUGCUGGCCACGCAGCUGGCAUAGCAGAGGGAGCUGCUCAAGAAGGCUUAGGACGAGGCAGAGAAGAGAGAGACUGCUCUCCUGGCCGAGUUCGAAAGCGAGCGCUCCUCCUAGACCGACAAGGAGGCACAGCUGACCUCCGGCUUCCAUGAGAUCGAGGACAUCGUCGACGGUGAGUUUCUUGGUUUCCUUUGAGCCGCCGACUGUGGGUCGGGCUGACUUCUGAUUUUGACUUGCUUCUUUUUUGUCUUGGCAGACUUCUUCCCUGGCCACUCGCAGGCGGCCACUCAAGCCAUCGAGGCUGAUCGCGAGGCGCGGAGGGCAGAUGGUGCGGAGAUUGCCGCCAACGCCCCCCGGACCCUCGACGAGCAGCUUCUGAGCAUCGAGGCUCGUCUGCGGCCGGCCCAUCGGAUGCUGCGCCGGCUUCAAUGUGGCGGUGCCCAGGCCAUUGCCGCCCUGUGGCCAGACAUGCCGGUUCUGCGCACUACCAGUCAGACUGCCGACUGGUUGGAGGUCGCAGCUGGUCGUCUUGAGGCUUGGAAGGGUUCCUCGGCUUGGGCUGGAGCACGCCGGGCCUUGGAAUUCGUCAAGGCAUGGUAUCCAGGGCUGGACCUGGACCGACUAGCUGCGUUCCGGUCAGAGGCCCAGGCGGAGCUGGUAGCUGUGGAAGACGCCCUCGUCGCUCGUGCUACGGCGAUCGCCGACUAUGCCGACACCAGCAUCUUCGUCCCUGAUCGGGCUGAAGACGGCAGGGAGGCGCCGCCGGAGUGGUUCGGGAUGAACCCGGACUACGACGAGGACUCGACGGAGGUGAUCAGUUCCAGCGCUGAGGAGGAAGGCGAGGCGGAGGACGGAGGCGAGACGGAGGCGCCAGAAGGUGGAGCGGGCGACCAGCCUCAGCUCGACCGUGCCUCCAGCAACGAGCCGCGCUCGACCGAGCCAGCCGCCGCCGGAGACCAUCAAGCCGAGACUGUCCGGCCGACCGCCCCGACGCCUGACACCGCCGUCUCUUCCGACCCUCCGAACCCGUCUGCCGCUUCCUAGGCUGUCGUCUUGCCUUCAUUUUAUGUGCUUUAGUAGUCUUUGAAGAACUUGUUAAUUUGAACAAUUCCACCCGCGGGGUGUAUUUUGAACUUCUGCUUGAAGAUUCGGCCAAGGGCCUAUGCUAUGUAAAUAUUUAUCCGAGUUCUAUCUUUCCUUGCUCAUUGCUCCUUUGGCUUUUUCCUUUGCCGCAUUCCCUUAGUCGCCGCCUUGCCAGUCAGACAACCGUUCUGCGGCUGCCACUGGAUCAAAUGCUUGGCUACUUUGGGAAGGCAAGUACUUGGCCAUUUUUUAGAGUCUUCUUAACAAGCUGGAUAGAAAGCGGCAGGCCGACUACUAGAGAGUCGGCUUUGGUAAGACAGGCAGGAAACCAGCUUAAGCUAUGCUUAUGCUUUGAGUCCUUAGCCAUUUUUCGUGCGGACGCCCAUUCUUCCUUACUCCUGUCCACCAAUCAGUCGCUCUACGAGCUGCGGCUUCUGACAGGAGACGGCUUAGGCGCCACGCACUACUUGUCCGACUGCAGGAAGCAUUUCAUAGCGCAAGGCGGCGAGUCCCUGGGCCGACUAGUCGAGCCCGGUGCCAAGCGGCAUAACAAAGAGUAGUAUACUCGAAGGCAUAAUUCUUAUCAUACAGAUAACAAAAAAGGGCAGUCCCCGAGCUCGUCUCGGGGGCCCGAAGUCUUGGUACUUUAAUACAAAGGGUAGUGCGAUACAUACUGCAUCAACUGUAAAAUCUUCGGAGAAGAUUUGCAUUCCACGGGCGUUCUGUCUCUUUGCUGGAGUCGUCCCUCUUGCGUGCUCGGGGCUUCUGAGCGUCGAUCAGGUAGUAGGAGUCGUUUCCCAGCACCUUGCUGAUAAUGAAGGGGCCUUCCCAAGGUGCCGACAGCUUGUGCUGGCCGGCUGUUCGCUGGAUCAGCCGGAGCACAAGGUCGCCCUCUUGGAAAAAUCUCGGCCUGACCUUCCUGUUGUAGUACCGGCGCAGGCUCUGCUGGUACAUGCUGGACCGACUGAGUGCCAACAGCUGGCCCUCUUCCAGCAGAUCGACACCGUCUUGACGUGCUUCUUCUGCUUCUUCCUCGGUGUACAUGGUGACUCGCGGAGAGUCGAACUCUAUGUCCGUCGGGAUGACGGCUUCAGCACCGUAGACGAGGAAGAAGGGUGUGAAGCCGGUUGACUUGUUUGGAGUCGUGCGCAGACUCCAGAGGAUGGCUGGCAACUCGUCAAGCCAACAGCCAGCCGAACGCUCCAGUGGUUCGACCAGUCGAGGCUUGAUGCCAGACAGGAUGAGGCCGUUUGCUCGCUCUACCUGGCCAUUUGACUGCGGAUGGGCAACCGACGCUAAGUCCAGUCGGAUGCCCUGAGUCGCGCAGAAAUGGGCCAAGACACCUUUGGCAAAAUUUGUGCCAUUUUCGGUGAUGAUGCUGUGCGGUAUGCCGUAUCGAGUCGUGAUGUCGAUGAUGAAAGUCACUGCAGUCAGACCAUUCAACUUCUUGAUGGGCUUUACUUCUAUCCACUUGGUGAACUUGUCCACCGCGACAAGUAAGUGAGUUAGGCCGCCUCGUGCUGUUUUGAAUGGUCCCACCAUGUCCAGGCCCCAAACCACAAAGGGCCAGGCGAUGGGGAUAGUCUUGAGUGUGGAAGCCGGCUGAUGUGGCUUGGAGCGGAACAUCUGGCACCCUUUGCACUUUUGGACUAAUUCUUUGGCCUCUUCUAGGGCAGUUGGCCACAAGAAACUAUGUCGGAAGGCUUUGGCGACGAGUGCUCUUGAAGCCGCAUGGUGGCCGCACUCGCCUUCAUGGAUGUCUCUGAGAAUUGCUUGGCCUUGCUCUGGCUCGACGCAACGCUGGUAGACACCAGUGACACUGCGCCUGACCAACUCUCUGUUGACUAUGGUGUAGGCUGCCGCUCGGCGUUGUACUUGCCGAGCCAAGAUUUCAUCAAUUGGCAGUUCUUUGCUCACCAGGAACUUGAGGAUGGGCUGGUCCCAUGAGGGUGCCGCUAUUUCUUCAACUGCCAGUACUGUGACUUGGACGAGGGUGGUUGGGCUGGGAGGUGGCGGGUUGGAGUCCGCGACCGCUUGCUGGAUUGACGAAGUCCCCGGGCCGAUUGGAGCAGUCCCCGGGCCGAGUUCUGGAGUCUUCGGACUGGUCGCCGCAGUCCCCGGGCCGGGUUCUGAAGUCCCCGGGCUGGCUUCAACUAUGGUGUGCUUGGAGCUGUCUCUAAGAAUUUUCGUGCCAUCUGUUGGGGCUCUUGAGUCGGAUCCGACUUCUUCGGGGGGAGCCGACACGAAAAUGGAGUCUGAUUCCGGUGAAGGCUUGAUAGACGGCUUGAGGAGGCGCCAAAGGGCGAUGCCAGAUGGUAUUUCUUGGCGGGUGGAGCCGAUUCGUGCCAGGGCGUCUGCUUGGUCGUUGUCAUUCCUUGGCACGUGGAGGAACUCGCACCCCUCGAAGUAUCCGCUGAGUUGCUGCACAAGGAAGCGGUAGCUCGCCAUGUUUGCAUCCUUGGCGUCCCAAUCGCCAGAUGACUGUUGGACCACUAAGUCGGAGUCGCCAUAACACAGGAUCCGGCGAAUGCCAAGUUCUUUGGCAAGCCGGAGCCCGUGAAUGAGCGCCUCGUACUCAGCGACGUUGUUGGAGGCGGCGAAGUGGAUCUGCAGUGCAUAUCUCAGCUUGUCGCCUUGGGGGAAGUGAGGACAACACCGACUCCCAAGCCGGUGCGCAUCUUGGAGCCGUCGAAGUGCAUCCACCAAUGGGUGGAGUCGGGCACUGGCGGCAGGUACUGGGUCUCGGCCCAGUCGAUGAGGAAGUCGGCCAGUGCUUGCGACUUGAUGGCGGUGCGGGGCUGGUAGUAGAUGGUGUAGGGAGCCAGAUCGAUGGCCCAUUUGGCCACUCGACCAGAAGCAUCUCGGCUUCCGAUGAUCUCGGCAAGUGGGGCUGUGCAGACCACAGUGAUUGGAUGCUCCUGGAAGUAAGGCUUCAACUUCUUGGCGGCAAAGUGCACGCCGUAGCACAUCUUCUAGUAGUGGGGGUAGUUCUGCUUGGAGGCCGAUAGUACUUCGCUCAGGUAAUAUACCGGUCUCUGGACAGGUAGCGCCUUGCCUUCCUCCUUGCGCUCAACUACAAUAACUAUGCUGACUACCCGACUGGUGGCGGCAAUGUAUAGGAGCAUGGGCUCUUUAGGAGUCGGAUCCGCCAGCACAGGGGGAGUAGUCAGCAUUUUCUUCAACUGGAGAAAAGCUUCAUCCGCCUUGGGGUUCCACUCAAAAAAGGUCUUCUUCUUCAUGAGCUGGUAUAAAGGGAGAGCCUUCUCGCCCAGCCGACUGAUGAAACGGCUGAUGGACGCCAAGCAGCCGGUGAACUUUUGCACAUCUAGCAGUCGGCGGGGUACCUCCAUCCUCUCGAUGGCCUUGAUCUUUACAGGGUUGCACUCUAUGCCGUGUUCAGAGACCAGGAAGCCAAGGAGUUGGCCGGCUGGUACUCCGGAGACGCAUUUCUCAGGGUUGAGCUUGAUCUAGAAUCGGCGCAAGUUCUCAAAGGUUUCCUUGAGGUCUUCCAGCAAUGUUCCACGCUUCACCGUCUUCACCACCACAUCGUCCACGUAGAUGUGGGCGUUUCUGCCGAGUUGCUUGAGGAGGCACUUCUGCAUGCAACGCUGAAAGGUGGCGCCGGUAUUCCUCAAGCCGAACGUCAUGGUCAGGUAGAAGAAGGCUCCAAACGGCGUGAUGAAGGCGGUCUUCAGUCUGUCAGCCUUGUUCAGCUUGAUCUGGUGAUAUCCAGAAUAUGCAUCUAAGAAACUCAACAGCUCGCAUCCGGCUGUGGAGUCUAUCACCUGAUCAAUUCUCAGCAGAGCGAAUGGGUCCUUGGGGCAAGCUUUGUUGAGGCUUGUGUAGUCGAUACACAUCCGCCACUGCUUGUUCUUCUUCAGCACCAGGACCGAGUUUGAUAGCCACUCCGGGAAAAAAUACUUCCAUAAUGAAGCCGGCUGCCAGGAGCCGGGCUAUCUCUUCUCCAACAACUCUUCUCUUCUCUUCUGACAGGCGGCGUAAGGGCUGGCUGACGGGCUUCACAUCAGACGGACAUGUAACUUGUGCUCGGCGAAUUCCGUCGGUACACCUGGCAUGUCUUUAGGGGACCAUGCGAAGAUGUCUCGAUUCUCAUGGAGGAAAUCGACGAGCUCGCCUUCCUAUUUGCUGUCAAGGUUUGCACCUAUGACAUCGUACCUCUCUGGGUGCUCCGGGUCCAAGGGUAUCUUCUUCGUUUCUUUGGUCGGCUUGAACGAUCCUUCAGCUUCCAACUCCUUGGGGUCGGGCGACAUCUCGGGCUGCUUGCCGGCCAUCGCCACAACCCGAUGAAGUAGCAGCUUCUCAGCUGCGAUCACCAAGGACUCGGCCAGCCGACUGCUUUCGGCCGUGCAAGCGGACGACCUUUUGUAGUCGCCGGCUACGGUCAGGAUCCCCUUGGAACUCGGCAUCUUCAUCUUGAGGUAGGCAUAGUGGGGGACCACCAUGAACUUGGCCAAAGCAGGUCGGCCAAGCAACGCAUAGUACGGGCUUUCGAGGUCCACCACUUCAAACCAAACUGGCUCUCGGCAGAAAUGAUCUUUGUCCCCAAAGAGGACGUCUAUCAGGAUCUUGCUGAUUGGCGAGCAGGAAAGGCCAGGAACGAUGCCGUGGAACACAGUCCGGCUGCUCUGAAGCUGUCUUUGCUUGAUUCCUAACCUCUCCAUGGUGUCCUUGUACAGGAUAUUGAUGCUACUGCCUCCGUCUAUCAGCACUCGCGAGAAGCGAGCGACCCGCCUAUCUGUGGCAAGGGUGGCACCUAGGACCAGGGCAUAGGAUCCUGGACUCGGCAUCACCUCUGGGUGAUCAGCUCUGCUCCAACUGAUAGGCCUCUCGGACCAGUGCAUGAACUUUGGAGUGCUUGACGCGAUUGCGUUCACCUCUUGCUGCUGCAGCCGCCUGCUGCGUCGAUCGUCAGCCACACUGGUGAACACCACAUAAGCUCCAUGCUCUUCUGGGUACUCAUCUUGUAUUGCGCCGACUGGCCUGACAGCCGGCUGCUGGGGCAGCGGUGGAGGCGGCGGCCCAGCAGGCGGGGGAGGUAGGAGGCCGUCUCCCUUGGCGAUUCUGGUGAGCCAGUGGCAUUUCUGGGUGGUGUGGUUCGACGGCUUCGCACCGUUGUGGAACUUGCAGGGGCCAUCUAGGGUCUGCUCGUAGGAGAAGGCCGGCAAUCAGUUAGACUUGCCGCCUUUCUGUCGCUUGGCCGGAGGCUGCUCCUCCGGCUGUUGGUCUUCGACUGCCGCAACUUGCUGGCUGCUAGAAGCCAGCUGUGGGGCUUUGCGCUUAUGGUCGUUCUGCUGUUGUCGCCAACUGGCGUCCCCAGCCGGAGUUCUGGGAGCCUGAGGGGCGACUUUGCCAGUCGCGCUAACUUGAAUCUCCGCCUUCAUGGAGGAGUCGGCCGUGGCGUACUUGUCUGCUAUGAUCAGCAGCUCGUCGAGGGUCUCCGGCUCGUCGCAGAGGAGCUUGUGCUUGAGGAGGGUGCCUUCUCUGCACCCGACAGUGAAGUACUCGAUAGCCUGCACCUCGUGCACGCCCUCGCAGGAGUUCGAAAGCUCGGCCCAACGCAUGAGGUAGUCGCGAGUCAACUCGUUGGGGCCUUGCACGCACAAGGAGAGUUGGCGAGGCUUGGGAGGUCGCUUGUACAUGCUCGUGAAGUUGCGGACGAAGGCUUCGGUGAAGUCGACCCAGCUGUCGAUGCUGCGGGGCUUCAGGCUGUUCAACCAUGUCCGGGCCGUGCCCUUGAGCAUGAGUGGAACGUACUUUACGGCAACAUGCUUGUUGCCGUUUGCUAUGUUGACGGCUGUGGAGUAGUCAACUAGCCAGUCUUCCGGCUUCACGGAGUCGGUGUACUUGGGCGUAUCUCGGGGGAGCGUGAACCCUUUGGAAAAGGGCUCGUCUCGAAUGCGAGGUCCAAAACAGGGAGGACCCAACUCGUCUUCUUCUUCCAGCGCCAGGGAUCGGUGGAGUCAGUCGAUCCGGUGGCGGGCGUCAUUUUCUCCGACUCCCUCUCGGCGGCCAAGGCGGUCGCCGAGGGUCGGAUGCUCAACGGGUGGCGGGGAGACUCGCCUUUCUUUGCGAGGAGGAGGAGGCAGAUAGUCGUCCCACCGCUCUACUGCUUUGGGGCGGCCGUCUUGGUCGCGCUCGAUGGUGAUGCGAGUCUGACUGUGGUUGACAGCCGGAUCCUUGUCUUUCCUUCUGCGGACACCGCCGUUUGGUGUCCGAGACGUCGCGCCUUGAUCUCGGCGGGGAGGCAAGUCGUUGUUUUGUCGUUGCGGUGCCUCCAUGUGGCAGCCGGCUUCGUUCUGCACGGCAGCCGCGUCGAGGAGCUGCUGAACUCGCUUCGUCAUCAGGCGGCGCUCUUCACCUUCGAAGUUGUCGAGCUCGUCCGCCGCCGCCUGGGCGGCGCGGAUGUUCUCUGCAGGUGUGGCGUACACAGGGCAAUUGGCCCCGAAAAGGUUGGCGAUGGCCGCACCACACUGCCGGACCGCGCCAAGGCGGCUAGGCCCAGUCGGGGCCGACGAGCCGCCCACAACACGAUCCAUCUCACGCUGGUAGGCUUCUGACAAGCAUCUCAUGCUUGCCAGCUUCUUCGCGCCUUCGACGAGCUGAAGGCGGCGCGCCUCCAGCGCCUCGGUGUCGGUGUCUGCCGGAAUGGGCGCGGUCAGGUCUUGCAGAGCCGCGUCGAGUGGAUCACGAGCUCCUUCGCUGGAACACUCGCCGUGAUCGAGGAUGAGAACCUCCAUGACGGUGCUUCCGCCGCUCUCCGCGCGAGGGAGCGGCUCGUCGUAGACCACCAUGUUGGUGGGGAACGUGUCGAGCGACGCGGUGUUGGAGUCGACCAUCAUCGGGUCAGUGGAGCCUAUGGACUCCAGGUCCACGGCGGGCUCGCCGGUGACGUGGAGUUGGUCAAGGAGGCCCGCGAGGAGGCUCUCAGGGCCGCUCGUGCCCGCGUCGGAUGCAGGCUCAUCGGAGAGGCGAACCUCACCGACAAGUUCGGCGAGGCAGCUGGCCGCGCAGGCGAUCUCAGCGCUGUGCAGCGCAUCGGCGCAGACUCUGUCUGGCGUGCCGGGCUGGCUGCGCUCGCCAGGGAGGAAUAGGGUUCCCGUCCAGAGCAGGUCUCCGGACGACGGUGCACCUCGCCCCAUGGUGGGCGCCAAAUGUUGGGGGUUGGGUGCGACAUAUGCCAAGGGAUGGCUUAUCAUGGUGGGAGCGAGUAGAACGUCGCCGGUGCCUGGAAACGGGAUGAGGCGAAGACAUGCACGCCGGCGGAUCUUACCCAGCUUCAGGGCUCUCCGAGGAGAUAACACCCCUACUGCUGCUCUGCGGGGUCUCCGCAUGAUCACCAUGGCAAAGUGAAUACAAGGUUGCUCCUAGAGCUGUUUCCUGGAGGUAGGAGAGGGCAAGGCUAGCUCCCUCCUUCCUAUAUGAUCGGAUCUAAUGCUAAAGAAGCUAUCCCCCUUGUAUGGGUGCCCCGGGGAGCUUAUAUAGGCCCGCCCCCAGGGAUACAAUGGUAAUCCGGCUGGGCGCGGGUCCCAGCCGUCUGUCUCUCAGGCCGCCGUCUUCUCCGCUGACUGCUGGGGCCCGCCGACUGGUGGGCCCCGCCGACAGGCCUGGUACUGUAGCCGUGCUUCUAAUGACGCUGGCUUGGUCAUGGGGUCGUGGCAACAGUGCCGCCGCCUGGCGGACGAUCACUGUCGCCAUUCCCCGUCUUGUCUGGUUAAUGGCGUGCGAGGCCCGUGGGAGGGGUCGGCCGACUCUAGGGGGCCAACUCCCACGGGUCCGUCUUUGUGGCGCUCUCGCCAUCUUCUAUACCCCCGCUGACGGGCGGGUCCCGUUGUCUCCGGGCCGUACAGGUAAGCCAUCGUGGGCACAGUGCGCCGCCCAUGGGGGCUGAGGUCAGGGCGGGCAUGGCAACAGUGCUGCGCCACGAUGGAGAUCUCCAGCGAUACGGUGCACUGUAGCCAUGCCAACCCUUCGUAAGCGGGGCAGGGACGGCCGUGCAGUGACCGUACCCCGCCCCGUCCAUCAUGGCGAAGGCAGGGGGUGGUUGGAGUCGCGGGCCGACUCCCCGUAGCCGGCUUCUCUGGAAGCCGCCAAUAGGAGUCGGCUUAUCACGAAGUCGUCCUUGGGACUCGGCCAUGAGGGAUAGUCGGCGGCCUUGCCGCCGACUCCCAGAAGGCGGCUCCUUAUCGCAGAGUCUUGAGGGGCGCAGUCUGCCCUGAUGUUUUGAAAGGUUCUGGGGCUCGGGUUAGCCUACCUGUGGCCCAUUACUCCGACAAAUUGCUAACAUGAUUCGGACUGACUUAAGCAUCUCUACGGGUGAGAAAGUCUCAUCGUAGUCAACCCCUUGAACUUGCCGAAAACUUUUUUGCAAGAAGUCGAGCUUUAUAGACAAUGAUAUUACCAUCAACGUCUAUCUUCCUCUUGAAGAUCCAUUUAUUCUCAAUAGCUUGCCAAUCAUCGGGCAAGUCCACCAAAGUCCAUACUUUUUUCUCAUACAUGGAUCCUAUCUUAGAUUUCAUGGCCUCAAGCCAUUUAUCGGAAUUUGGGCUCAUCAUAGCUGCUUCAUAGUUCGUAGGUUCACUGUUGUCUAACAACAUGACUUCCAGGACAGAUUACCAUACCAUUCUAGUGCGAUACAUGUUCUGGUCGACCUACGAGGUUCAGUAGUAACUUGAUCUAAAGUUUCAUGAUCAUCAUCAUUAGCUUCCUCUCUAGUUGGUGUAGGCCUCACAGGAACCGAUUUCUCGGAUGAACUACUCUCCAAAUUGAGAGAAGGUACAAUUACCUCAUCAAGUUCUACUUUCCACCCACUCACUUCUUUCGAGAGAAACUUCUUAUCUAGAAAUGACCCAUUCUUAGCAACAAAGAUCUUGCCUUCGGACCUAUGGUAGAAGGUGUACCCAAUAUUUUCUUUAGGGUAUCAUAUGAAGAUGCACUUCUCCGCUUUGGGUUCGAGCUUAUCAGACUGAAGCCUUUUGACAUAAGAAUCACCACAUCCCCAAACUUUAAGAAAUGAUAGCUUAGGUUUCUUGCCAAACCAUAGUUCACAUGGUGUCGUCUCAACGGAUUUAGAUGGUGCCCUAUUGAACGUGAAUGCGGCUGUCUCUAAUGCAUAGCCCCAAAUUGAUAAAGGCAAAUCGGUAAGAGACAUCAUAGAACACACCAUAUCUAAUAAAGUACAGUUAGGACGUUCGGACACACCAUUACGUUGUGGUGUUCCAGGUGGCGUGAGUUGUGAAACUAUUCCACAUUAUUUUAAAUGAAGGCCAAACUCGUAACUCAAAUAUUUGCCUCCAUGAUCUGAUCGUAGAAACUUUAUUUUCUUGUUACGAUAAUUCUCCACUUCACUCUAAAGUUCUUUGAACUUUUCAAAUGUUUCAGGUUUGUGUUUCAUCGAGUAGAUAUACCCAUACCUACUCAAAUCAUCUGUAAAGGUUAGAAAAUAACGAUACCCGCCGCGUGCCUCAACACUCAUCGGACCGCAUACAUCGGUAUGUAUUAUUUCCAAUAAGUCAUUUGAUGGGGAACAUUGCAUGAAAAGAAAUAAAAUUCCUAUGAACACCCAAGAUCUAAUCUAGGAGAUGUAUAGCAACGAGAGGGGAGUGGUGUCUACAUACCCUUGUAGACCGAAAGCGUUAACAAUCUAGAGAUCGUGGUUGGCGUAGUCGUACUCAUAUCGUGAUCCAAUCUGAUCCAAGUACCGCAUGUGUAGAACCUCUCGGUUUAGAACACAUACGGCUCGGCGACAUCCUCUCCUUCUUGAGCCAGCAAGUGAGGGAGAGGAGGUAGAUGAGAUCUUAACCAACACGACGGCAUGGUGGUGGCAGCGGAACUCCGGUAGAGCUUCGCCAAGCGCGUACCGGUGAAACGUGGAAGGAGUUGGGAGAGGUAAUGGGAAAGGGUCGAAGGGGGGCUGCCCCCAAUGCCUCCCCACCUUUAUAUAGGCGUGGAGGGGGCUCGUAGCUUGCCCUCCAAGGCCCUAGGGUCGUUGGUCAAAGGGGGAGGAAGGAAAUCCCUCAGUUCUUGGUGCGCCUAGACCAGGGUUGUGGGGCAUUUCCCCACUACCCACAUUCAUGUGGGUCCCCAAAGCAGGUGGGCCCCACUCCAGAACCUUCUAGAACAUUCCCGGUACAAUACCGAAAAAACUCGAACUCUUUUUGGAACCCUGAUAGCAACUUUCCAUAUAUGAAUCUUUACCUCCAGACCAUUCCAUAGCUCCUCGUGAUGUCCCAGAUCCCAUCCAGGACUCCUAAAAACCUUCAUACUUUCCACUAUUAAUAUCUCAACACUACCCUAGCGCUACCGAACAUUAAGCGUGUGACCCUACGGGUUUGAGAAUCAUGCAGACAUGACCGAGACUUCUCUUUGGUCAAUAACCAAUAGCGGGACCUGGAUGCCCAUAUUGAUUCCUACAUAUUCAAUGAAGAUCUUUAUCAAUAGAACCACGAUGUCAAGGAUUCAGUCAAUCCCGUAUGCAAUUCCCUUUGUCUAGCGAUUUGUUACUUGCCCGAGAUUUGAUCUCGGUAUCUCCAUACCUAGUUCAAUCUCGUUACCGACAAGUCUCUUUAAUCAUUCCGUAAUACAAGAUCUCGUGACUAAACUCAUUAGGCACAUGAAGCUUCUUAUGAUGUUGUAUUACCGAGAGGGCCUAGAGAUAUCUCUCCAUCACAUGGCGUGACAAAUCCCAGUCUCGAUCCACACAACCCAACAGACAUCUUCGGAGAUACAUGUAGAGCACCUUUAUGAUCACCCAGUUACGAAGUGACGUUUGAUAGCACAUAAGGCACUCCUAUGAUAUCAGAGUAGCAUGAUCUCAUUGGCGAAGGAACAUAUACUUAACAUGAAGAAAGCUAUAGCAAAUAACUAAAUGAUAUGAUGCUAAGCUUACGGUUGGGUCUGUCCAUCACAUCAUUCUCCUAAUGAUGUGAUCCCAUUAUCAAAUGACAACUCAUGUCCAUGGUUAGGAAACCUUAACCAUAUUUGAUCAAUGAGCUAGUCUAGUAGAGGCUUACUAGGGACACGGUGUUGUCUAUGUAUUCACAAAUAUAUUUAAGUUUCUGGUCAAUACAAUUCUAGCAUGAAUAAUAAACAUUUAUCAUGAACGGGAAAUAUGAUAAUAACCAUUUUAUUGUUGCCUCUAGGGCAUAUUUCCAAUAGUCUCUCAUACGUCUCCAAUGUAUCUAUAAUUUUUAUUUAAUCCCUACUGUUAUAUUAUCAUUCUGGGAUGUUUUACAAUAAUUUUAUAGCAACUUUAUAUCAUUUUUUGGGACUAACCUAUUGACAUAGUGCCCAGCGCCAGUUGCUAUUUUUUGCUUCUUUUUUACUUCACAGAAAAUCUAUACCAAAUGGAGUCCAAACACAGCAAAACUUUUUAGAGAAUUUUUCUGGACCAGAAGACACCUGUUGGGCCAAAGAAGUACCAGAGGGGGGCUCCGAGGGGAGCACAACCCACCUGGGCGCGCCUGGGGGCUCAAGCGCACCCUGGUGGGUUGUGCCCAUCUCGGCCGCCUCCCGCACCGCCUCUUUGCUCAAUAGAUAUCCCAAAAAUCCAAAAACCCUAGGGGAGUUGACGAAACACAAUUCCAGCUGCCACAAGUUCCAGAACCACCAGAUCCAAUCUAGACAGCAUCACAGAGGGGUUCAUCAUCACCAUUGGUGUCCUCCCAUGAUGCGUGAGUAGUUCAUCAUAGACCUACGGGUCCGUAGUUAGUAGCUAGAUGCCUUACUCUCUCUCUUUUUAUUCUCAAUACAAUGGUCUCUUGGAGAUCUAUUUGAUGUAACUAUUUUUGCGGUGUGUUUGUUGGGAUCCGAUGAACUUUGAGUUUAUGAUCAGAUCUAUUUAUCCAUGAAAGUUAUUUGAGUUUCUUUGAUCUCUUAUAUGCAUGAUUACUUAUAGCCUCGUAUUUCUUCUUUGAAUUUUUGGUUUAGUUAGGCUAACUAGAACGAUUUUUCUUGCCAUGGGAAGAGGUUCUUUCUGAUGGGUUCGGUCGUGCGGUGUUCUUUCCCAGUAGCAGAAGGGGCAACAAGACACGUAUUGAUCGUUGCUAUUAAGGAUAACAAGAUGGGGGUCUAUUCCUGCAUGAAUAGAUCUUAUCUACAUCAUGUCAUCAUUCUUAUUGCAUUACUCCAUUUCUCCAUGAACUUAAUGCACUAGAUGCAUGCUGGAUAGCGGUCAAUGUGUGGAGUAAUAGUAGUAGAUGCAGGCAGGAGUCGGUCUAUUAAUCUUGGACGUGAUGCCUAUAUAAUAAUCAUUGCCUGGAUAUCAUCAUAAUUAUUUGAAGUUCUAUCAAUUGCCCAACAGUAAUUUGUUUACCCACCGUAUGCUAUUUUCCUCGAGACAAGCCACUAGUGAAAUCUACUGCCCCUGUGUCUAUUCUUUAUCAUAUUUGCUUUGAGAUCUAUUUUUGUUCGCUUUUGCUUUCAGAUCUAUUAUUCUAAAAACCGAAAAAUACCUUGCUGCAUUAUUUAUUUAUUUUAUUUUGCUUUAUUGCGAGAUCUAUUUUCCAAAAUCAUAUAAACCAAUCUAUCCUUUACCCGAGAGGGAUUGAUAACCCCUCUUACGCGUCGGGUUGCAAGUAUUUGUUCUUUGUGUGCAGGUACCGUUUACAUAGUGUUGCUUGGUUCUCCUACUGGUUCGAUAACCUUGGUUUCAUAACUGAGGGAAGUACCUACCGAAGUUGUACUGCAUCAUCCCUUCAUAAUGUAAAUUGCAAGGAUACGAGCCAUGAAGAAAGGAUUUCUGGCACCGUUACCGGGGAGACAUCAUCAACAUCUAUCAGGUUCCUAGUCACAAGUCCCAUCUCCUUGAAAUUUACAUUAUUUGCCAUUUGCCUCUCGUUUUCAUCUCCCCCACUUCACAAAAAAUUGCCGUUUUUUUUGUUCGCCGUUUUCUGGUCAGAUCUCUUAUUUGCUUGAACUUGUCACCAUAAGUGACUUUGGUAUGGCAGAAACAGAUGAUGGCCUAACUCCUAAAAUUGGUCAAUCUGGCAAUCUGGAUGCCACAACUUUUGUUUUGGGGCAAGGGAAUGUUAUGGGAAAAGAACAUAUCCAAGAAUUUUUCAGUUGUGUUGGAAAUUUGACUCUUGAUGAUGCUCCUAUACUUAAAAGAACUAAAUCUUAUGUGGAAGCUAUUUCAGCACUAGUUCUAAAACUUGAAAGUAGCUUUAUUCGUACCCAUCCUACCUUGCAAAGAAUGUUUUAUGAGCUACCAUCUAUAAAAUAUCCUAAGGCUAAAAACAUAGCUACCCAAGUUCUUAUGAAUGAAUUUGAUUACAUAGUACGGGAAGCUAGGGAGAUUUUUGAUUCUUAUGGUAUGAGCUGUGAAAAAGUGGUAAUAGAUGAGAUCCUUUAUAAUAGUGAUUACAUGCUGAGACAUCUGCUUGGAAAUAAUAUUUUUUGAUGAGAAUCUCAAAAAGGAAAUCCCCGUUUUAGACAUAAUCCAACAAGUUUUCAAUGAUGUUAAUCAACAAUAUUCUUGGAUUGUUGCCGGAAAUCAAAGGUGAUAUGUAGAUAGGCAACUUGAUAAUGCUAAAAUUUCUAUGGAUAAUAUGUUUCAAGUUAUUUAUGCAAAACCUCCUGACAAGAACACAUCUACAGAAAAUAAGAAGAAAGAUGACAAUACUAGAAUCUAUGCGUUAUGCCUAGCUAGGGGCGUAAAACGAUAGCGCUUGUUGGGAGGCAAACCCAAUGAAUAAAAUUUAUUUUUGCCUUUUUAUUUCUAUUCUUGAGUGUUUGCACAAUUAUGCCUUUGUUAUGAUUGUGUUUUUCAUGUUUUAGUUAAUGUUUGUGCCAAGUAAAGCCUUUAGGAUCAUGUUGGGUGAUAGUUGAUUUGAUCUUGUUGAAAAACAGAAACUUUGUGCGCCAGUAGCAGAAUUGUUGAAAAUCACAGAAGCGCGAUAAAAUGCUGAUUUUGAUACACAAGAUUGAUAUACAGAUUGCCUACAUUGUUCGAAAUUUUCAAUUUUUUUGGAGUUACAGAAGUAUACGAAGUUUUCAGAUUGCUAUAGACUGUUCUGUUUUUGACAGAUUCUGUUUUCUUUGCAUUAUGUGCUUAUUUUGAUGAAUCUAUGAACUUUAUCGGGGGGUAUAAUCCAUAGUAAAGUUGGAAUACAGUAGAUAUGAUGCAAUAAUAAAUUAUGAAUGGGUUUUCAAUAGUAUUUAGAGUAGUGAUUUGCUUUCUUAUACUAACGUAUCUCACGAGGUUUUGUUAAGUUUUGUGUGAUUGAAGUUUUCAAGUUUUGGGUGAGAUCGUGAUGGAUGAAGGAAUAAGGAGUAAGAAGAGCUUAAGCUUGGGGAUGCUACUGCACCCCAAGGUAAUAUUCAAGGAUGAACAAGCAACUAAUCUUGGGGAUGCCCCGAGUGGCAUCCCCUUUGUCUUCUAAAUGAAGGAAAUAUGCCCUAGAGACAAUAAUAAAGUUGUUAUUUUAUAUUUCCUUUUUCAUGAUAAAGGUUUAUUAUUCAUGCUAGAAUUGUAUUGAUCGGAAACUUAAGUACAUGUGUGAAUGCAUAAACAAAUACUGUGUCCCUAGUAAGCCUCUACCAGACUAGCUCGUCGAUCAAAGAUGGUUAAGGUUUCCCAACCAUGGACAUGUGUUGUCAUUUGAUAAUGGGAUCACAUCAUUAGGAGAAUGAUGUGAUGGACAAGACCCAUCCGUCAUCUUAGCAUAAUGAUCGUUCAGUUUUAUUGCUAUUGCUUUCUUCAUGUCAAAUACAUAUUCCUUUGCCUAUGAUAUUAUGCAACUCCCGGAUACCGGAGGAAUACCUUGUGUGCUAUCAAACGUCACAACGUAACUGGGUGAUCAUAAAGAUGCUCUACGGGUAUCCCUGAAGGUGUUUGUUGAGUUGGCAUAGAUAGAGAUUAGGAUUUGUCACUUCGAGUUUCGGAGAGGUAUCUCUAGGCCCUCUCGGUAAUACACAUCAUAAGCUUGCAAGCAAAUGACUAAGGAGUUAGUCACGACGUGAUGUAUACAUAACGAGUAAAGAGACUUGCCGGUAACGAGAUUGAACUAGGUAUGAAGAUACCAACGAUUGAAUCUCGGGCAAGUAAUAUACCGAUGGACAAAGGGAAUUGCUUAUGUUGUUAUAAUGGUUCAACCGAUAAAGAUCUUCGUAGAAUAUGUAGGAGCCAAUAUGGGCAUCCAGGUUCCGCUAUUGGUUAUUGACGGGAGAGGUGUCUCGGUCAUGUCUACAUAGUUCUCGAACCCAUAGGGUCCGCACGCUUAACGUUCGUUGAUGAUAUACUGUUAUACGAGUUAUGUGAUUUGGUGACCGAAUGUCGUCCAGGAAGAAGACAGAUGCUGAUGGUAAUGUCACCAUCUACAAAGCUCGACUUGUUGCAAAAGGUUUUUGACAAGUUCAAGGGGUUGGCUACGAUGAGACCUUCUCACCCGUAGUGAUGCUUAAGUCAGUCCGAAUCAUGUUAGCAAUUGCCGCAUUUUAUGAUUAUGAAAUCUGGCAAAUGGACGUCAAAACUGCAUUCCUUAAUGGAUUUCUUGAAGAAGAGUUGUAUAUGAUGCAACCAGAAGGUUUUGUUGAUCCUAAAGGUGCUAACAAGGUGUGCAAACUCCAGCGAUCCAUCCAUCGACUGGUGCAAGCAUCUCGGAGUUGGAAUAUACGCUUUGAUGAGGUGAUUAAAGCAUAUGGUUUUAUACAGACUUUUGGUGAAGCCUGUAUUUACAAGAAAGUGAGUGGGAGCUCUGUAGCAUUUCUGAUAUUAUAUGUAGAUGACAUAUUGUUGAUCGGAAAUUAUAUAGAAUUUCUGGAUAACAUAAAAGGAUACUUGAAUAAGAGUUUUUCAAUGAAAGACCUCGGUGAAGCUACUUAUAUAUUGAGCAUCAAGAUCUAUAGAGAUAGAUCAAGACGCUUAAUAGGACUUUCACAAAGCACAUACCUUGAUAAAGUUUUGAAGAAGUUCAAAAUGGAUUAGUCAAAGAAAGGGUUCUUGCCUGUGUUACAAGGUGUGAAGUUGAGUCAGACUCAAAGCUCGACCACUGCAGAAGAUAGAGAGAAAAUGAAAGUCAUUACCUAUGCCUCAGCCAUAGGUUCUAUCAUGUAUGCUAUGCAGUGUACCAGACCUGGUGUGUGCCUUGCCAUAAGUUUGGCAGGGAGGUUCGAAAGUAAUCCAGGAGUGGAUCACUGAACAACAGUCAAGAACAUCCUGAAGCACCUGAAAAGGACCAAGGAUAUGUUUCUCGUUUAUGGAGGUGACAAAGAGCUCAUCGUAAAUGUUUACGUUGAUGCUAGCUUUGAUACUGAUUUGGAUGACUCUAAGUAACAAAUCAGAUACGUAUUUAUAUUGACUGGUGGAGCUGUCAGUUGGUGCAGUUCCAAGCAGAGCGUCGUGGCGGGAUCUACGUGUGAAGCGGAAUACAUAGCUGCUUCGAAAGCAGCAAAUGAAGGAGUCUGGAUGAAGGAGUUUAUAUCCGAUCUAGGAGUAAUAUCUAGUGCAUCGGGUCCAAUGAAAAUCUUUUGUGACAACACUAGAGCAAUUGCCUUGGCGAAGGAAUCCAGGUUUCACAAGAGAACCUAACACAUCAAGAGACGCUUCAACACCAUUGGUGAACAAGUCAAGGAUGGACACAUAGAAAUUUGCAAGACACAUACGGAUCUGAAUGUAGCAGACCCAUUAACUAAGCUUCUUCCGCAAGCAAAACAUGAUCAACACCAAGAAUCCAUGGGCGUUAGAAUCAUUGCAAUGUAAUCUAGAUUAUUGACUCUAGUGCAAGUGGGAGACUGAAGGAAAUAUGCCCUAGAGGCAAUAAUAAAGUUGUUAUUUUAUAUUUCCUUAUUCAUGAUAAAGGUUUAUUAUUCAUGCUAGAAUUGUAUUGAUCGGAAACUUAAAUGCAUGUAUGAAUGCACAAACAAAUACUGUGUCCCUAAUCUCUACUAGACUAGCUUGUUGAUCAAAGACGGUUAAGGUUUCCUAACCAUGGACAUGUGUUGUCAUUUGAUAACGGGAUCACAUCAUUAGGAGAAUGAUGUGAUGGACAAGACCCAUCCGUUAGCUUAGCAUAACGACCGUUCAGCUUUAUUGCUAUUGCUUACUUCAUGUCAAAUACAUAUUCCUUCGACUACGAGAUUAUGCAACUCCCGGAUACCGGAGGAAUACCUUAUGUGCUAUCAAAUGUCACAACGUAACUGGGUAAUCAUAAAGAUGCUUGAUACGUCUCCAACGUUUCUACUUUUCCUAAUGCUUUUCCUCUUGUUUUGACUCUAAUUGCAUGAUUUGAAUGAAACUAACCCCGGACUGACGCUGUUUUCAGCAAAACUACCAUGGUGUUGUUUUUGUGCAGAAAUAAAAGUUCUUGGAAUAGAAUGAAACUUUGCGAGGAAUUUUUAUAUAAAUAAAGAGAAUUUCUGGAGUCAAGAGGAACCUGAGGGGGGCACCUGGGUGGGCACAACCCACCAGGGCACGCCUGCCCCCCCAGGCGCACCCAGGUGGGUGCUGCCCACCUGGUGGCCCCGCUGAUCCUGAAACCGACGCUAUAAAAUCACAUUAUUCCAGAAAAAAAAUCAGGGAGAAAGAAUAAUCAUUUUAUAUCAUUUUUUGAUACUAACCUAUUGACAUAGUGGCCAGUGCCACUUGCUGUUUUCUUCUUGUUUUUUACAUUGCAGGAAAUCAAUACCAAACGGAGUCCAAACUCAGGGAAAUGUUUUGUGGAUUUUUUCUGGACCAGAAGACACCGUAUGGGCCAAGAAAGUACCAGAGGGGUGCUCCGAGGGGAUCACACCCACCAGGGCGUGCCUGGGGGCCCAGGCGUGCCCAGGUGGGUUGUGCCCACCUUGGUGGCCUCCCACAUCGCCUCUUUGCUCUAUAAAUACCCCAAUAUUCCAAAAACCCUAGGGGAGUCGACGAAAAAUAACUCCAUCCGCCGCAAGUUCCAGAAACACCAAAUCCAAUCUAGACACCAUCACGGAGGGGUUCAUCAUGUCCAUUGGUGCCUCUGCGAUGAUGCGUGCGUAGUUCUUUGUAGACCUACGGGUCCGUAGUUAGUAGCUAGAUGGCUUCCUCUCUCUCUCUCUCUCUCUCGCUCUCUCUCUCUCUCUUGAUUCUCAAUACAAUGAUCUCUUGGAGAUCCAUAUGAUGUAAGUCUUUUUUGUGGUGUGUUUGUUGGGAUUCGAUGAACCUUGAGUUUAUGAUCAGAUCUAUGUUUUUAUCCAUGAAAGUUAUUUGAGUCUUCUUUGAUCUCUUAUAUGCAUGAUUGAUUAUAGCCUCGUAUUCUUCUCUGAUAUUUGGGGUUUAUUUGGCCAACUUGAUCUAUUUAUCUUGCAAUGAGAAGAGGUGCUUUGUGAUGGGUUCGAUCUUAUGGUGCUUGAUCCCAGUGACAGAAGGGGAAACUGCAUGUAUGUAUUGUUGCUAUUAAGGAUAACAAGAUGGGAUCUAUUUCUACAUAAAUAGUUGUCUACAUCAUGUCAUCGUUUUUAUUGCAUUACUCCGUUUUUCCAUGAACUUAAUACACUAGAUGCAUGCUGGAUAGCGGUCGAUGUGUGGAGUAAUAGUAGUAGAUGUAGGCAGGAGUCGGUCUACUAAUCUUGGACGUGAUGCCUAUAUAAUGAUAAUUGCUUGGAUAUCAUCAUGAUUAUUUGAAGUUCUAUCAAUUUCCCAACAAUAAUUGUUUUCCCACCGUUUGCUAUUUUCUCGAGAGAAGCCACUAGUUAAACCUACAACCCCCGGGUCUCUUCUUUAAUAUAUUUGCCUUCGCGAUCUAUUUUAUUUGCUUUUAUUUUCAGUUCUAUUAAACCAAAAAUACAAAAAUUCCUUACUGGACUUCAUUUUAUUUGCGAUCUAUCUAUCCUAUCUAUUACAACUUUAUCCCGUCUCCAUGCCACUUUCUGGCGCCGUUACCUGAAAGGGAUUGACAACCCCUUUAACACAUCGGGUUGUGAGUAUUUGUUAUUUAUGUGCAGGGGCUGUUUAUGUUGUGCCGUGUGGUUCUCCUAAUGGUUCGAUAACCUUGGUCUCAUCACUGAGGGAAAUACCUACCAUUGCUGUGCUUCAUCAUCCCUUCCUCUUUGGGAAAUACUGACGUAGUUCUAGCAGACAUCAAAAAGAAUUUCUGGCACCAUUGUAGGGGAGGAUCAUCAACAUCAACCAGGUUCCUAAUCACAAAUCUCAUCUCCUUGCAGUUUACAUUAUUUGCCAUUUGCUUCUCAUUUUCCUCUUCCCCACUUCACAAAAAAUUUGCCAUUUUAUUCACCCUCUUUUUCGUUCGUCAUUUUCUUGUCAGAUCUGUUUUUGAGUGCAAUAUUGUUGAGUAGUCACCAUGACUCAAGAGAACAACAAGUUGUGUGAUUUAUCAAAUACCAACAACAAUGAUAUUAUUAGCACUUCGAUUGCUCCUCCCGCCACUAGUGCGGAGUCUUGUGAUAUUAACACUGCUUUGCUGAAUCUUGUUAUGAAAGAUAAUUUGCCAGUACUCCUAAUGAGGAUGCUGCGUCCCAUCUUAACACAUUCAUGGAAUUAUGCGAUAUGCAAAAGAAAAAAGAUGUGGACAAUGAUGUUGUGAAGUUGAAAUUAUUUCCGUUUUCUUUGCGAGAUCGUGCAAAAAAUUGGUUUUCUUCUUCGCCUUGCAAUAUUAUUGAUUCUUGGAACAAGUGCAAGGAUGCUUUUAUUACUAAGUAUUUUUCGCCCGCAAAAAUCAUUUCCCUUAGAACCCUGAUCAUGAAUUUCAAGCAACUUGAACAUGAGCAUGUUGCACAAUCUUGGGAAAGGAUGAAAUUGAUGCUAAGGAAUUGCCCAACUCAUGGGUUAAAUCUUUGGAUGAUCAUACAAAAAAUUAUGCGGGGUUGAAUUUUGUUUCUCGUAGUCUUUUAGAUUCUGCCGCGGGGGGUACUUUCAUGGAAAUUACUUUGCGUGAAGCUACUAAAUUGCUAGACAAUAUUAUGGCAAAUUACUCACAAUGGCAUACCGAAAGAGCACCUACUAAUAAAAAAAGUCAAUUUGAUAGAAGAAAUAAAUUCUUUGAGUGAAAAGGUUGAUGCUCUUAUGAAGUUGGUUGCUAAUAAAAGUGCUCCUAUUGAUUCUAAUGAUGUGCCUUUGUCUACUUUUAUUGAGCAAAAUAGUUAUGCCAUAGAUGUGAAUUUUAUCUCGCGAAACAAUUUCAAUAACAAUGCUUAUAGAGGUAAUUUUAAUCCUAGGCCUUUUCCUAGUAAUUCCUCUAAUAAUCAUGGUAAUUCCUAUGGUAAUCCCUCUUAUAAUAAUAAUAAUAGAAACACCCCUGAUCUUGAGAAUAAUAUUAAAGAAUUUGUCAAUACUCAAAAACUUUUCAAUGCUACAAUAGAACAAAAGCUGAAUAAAGUUGAUGAUAUGUCUAGAAGUAUUGAUAGAAUUUCUCAUGAUGUAGAAACUCUCAAGAUGAAAAAAUUUGUGCCUAAAGUUGAAUAAUCAAUUAAAUCUCUUUAUGUUUCUAUGGAUGAAAGUAAGAAAAGAACCGCCAUGCUUAGAGCUAAAAGAGAAUUUUUAGAAAAAGCAUUUUCUAGUGAUUGCUUUCAUAAAAGUGAUGAAGAUCUUAAAAUGAUUGGUGUUUCUUCUAUUGAUUAUUUGUUUAGUAAAACUAAUAUUGAUGGAAAAGGGACUAGAGAAGAGUCAACUUUAGCUAGAAGGCGUCCCUAUAAUUCGGAGGGUGAAAAUCUUGUUGAGAAAAUUGAUAAAAGUGGGCUUGAAGAGGUCAAGACUUUAACUAGUGAUGUGCCCACCAUUUUGGAUUACGAAGACUUCAAUUAUGAUAGUUGCUCCUUGGUUGAUUGUAUUUCUUUGUUGCAAUCCAUGAUAAAUUCACCCCAUGCUUAUGAACAAAAUAAAGCUUUUACUAAACAUAUUGUUGAUGCUAUGAUGAAAACUUUUGAAGAAAAGUUGGAAUUAGAAGUUUCAAUUCCUAGAAAAUUACAUGAUGAACGGGAACCUACCAUCAAAGUCAAGAUUAAAAAUUAUGAGUUUUUUCCUUUAUGUGACUUGGGUGCUAGUGUUUCUACAAUUCCGAAAUCUUUAUGUGAUGUGCUUGGUCUCACCGAUAUUGAAGAAUGCUCUUUAAAUUUGCACUUGGCGAAUUCUACUAUUAAAAAGCCUAUGGGAAGAAUUAAUGAUGUAUUUUUUCUUGCAAAUAGGAAUUAUGUGCCGAUAAAUUUUAUUGUUCUUGAUAUUGAUUGCAAUCUGUCUUGUCCAAUUAUACUUGGUAGACCGUUUUUACGUACUAUUGGUGUCGUGAUUGAUAUGAAAGAAGGCAAUAUUAAAUUCCAAUUUCCACUAAGGAAGGGUAUGGAACACUUACCUAGAACAAGAAUUAGGCCAUCAUAUGAAUCAAUCAUGAGGGCAACGUAUGGAUCUAGAACUAAAGAUGACAAAACUUAGAUCCUUCACGUUAUGCCUAGCUAGGGGCGUAAAACGAUAGCGCUCGUUGGGAGGCAACCCAACUUGUAUCUUUUUGAUUUUUUGGUUUUCUUGCUGUUUUCAAUAAAAUAUACAGUUAUGCCUCUGAUUAGAUGUGUUUUUUUGGUUUAAAUUAGUUUUUGUUCCAAGCAAGGCCUUUGAGAUGAUUUGGGUGAAAGUUGAUUUGAUCUUGCUGAAAAAUAGAAACUUUUGCACUCACAAAAUUAUUUUACUUUUUAUCAGAAGAGUGAUUUUGAGUUGAUUCUUUUCGCAGAAGUUUAAUAAACAAAUUUCUCACAUUGUACUAAUUUUUCAGAAUUUUUGGAGUUACAGAAGUAUUCGAAAUAGUCAGAUUGCUACAAAUUAUUUUGUUUUUGACAGAUUCUGUUUUCUUUGCGUUGUGUGCUUGUUUUGAUGAUUCUAUGGUUUUCUUUGAAGAGUUUUUUCCAUAGAAAAAUUAUAAUACAGUAAAUAUAAUGCAAAAGUAAAAUAUGAAUGGGUUUGCAACAUUACUUAUGGUACGGGUUUGCUUUCUUAUACUAAUGGAUCUCACGAAGGUUUUGUUGAGUUUUGUGUGAUUGAAGUUUUCAAGUUUUGGGUGAGAUUACGAUGGAUGAAGGAAUAAGGAUUAGCAAAAGGCUAAGCUUGGGGAUGCACGAGGCACCCCAAGAGAGUAUUCAAGAAGUAGCAAGCAACUAAGCUUGGGGAUGCCCCCCGAGUGGCAUCCCCUCUUUCUUCUAACGAUCAUUAGUAUUUUACUUGAAGCUAUAUUUUUAUUAGUCACAUAUUAUGAGUUUUGCUUGGAGCAUCUUGUAUGAUAUGAGUCUUUGCUUGUUUUUCUUUGUGUUUUAAGUCUUGAAUCCUGGCUGGACACACCUUUUUGAGAGAGUCAAAAAUUAUGCUAUGCUUGCUCCUAUGCUUCACUUAAAUUUUUAGAGCCUUGGAAUUGCUCUAGUGCUUCACCUAUAUCUUUUUGAGCACGGUGUGCUUAGUUAUUUUGGAAGAAAUGCUCUCAUGCUUCACUUAGAUUUAUUCGGGAGUUAGUAAUUUUUUAAGAAAUUCUCUCUUGCUUCACUUAGAUUAUUUUGAGAGAAAGAAAUAUUAUGCUCAUGUUCUUCACUUAAAUUUGUUCGAGCCUAUUAAAAGCAACAUAUGAAACUAGUACCAAAGUGAUAGAUAUCCAAGGAGGAUAUAAUAAAAACUUUCAUGAAGAUAAUUGGAUAAAAUAAACUUGGUUCUUAGUAAUGGUUUUGAGAUAUGACGAUAUGAUAUGUGAGUCAUGUUGAUGAGUAACUGUGCUUUAGUAAGAAUAUUGGUGUCAAGGUUUGUGAUUCCCUAUGCAAGCACGAAAGUCAAUAGUUAUGCAAUGAAAUUAUAUCCUACUUGUGGUGCAUUAUUCGGUGUUAUUUAUGCUUAAUGCUUGGGUACGAGAUUUUUCAUUUCUUGGUUGGAAGCUUCUCAAUCUUUUUGCUAGCCUUCAUUUGCACUAAGUAUGAUCACUACUUGUGCAUCCAAAACCCUUUAAACCAGUUUUGCCAUAUGAGUCCGCUAUACCUACCUAUAUGCGGUAUUUCCGUGCCGUUCUAAGAAAAUUUGCAUGUGCCAUCUCUAAUUUUCAAAAUAAAUUUCUCUAAUGUGUGCUCGUACCGCUCGUGAGGCGGUGAGGGCUAGCCGAUGUUUUCCAUGCUAGAUGUGUAAUUCUCACGAUGAGUGUUCAUUCACUUGUCAUUACACGAGAGUACGACAAAGGUAUUAGGGAUGCCCAGUCCCGAAAUGAAAAAAAUGAAUUUACUUUAUGUUGUAAAAUAAUAAAUUCCUUGGAAAGUGUUGGUAUGGAGGGCACCCGUGGAUACGGUUAGCCAUGGAAAGUGAAAGUAUUGUGGAAAAAGGAACAAACUUUGUUUUCUAUUUGGGAAUCGCCUAUGAUAUACCUAGCAUGGAAAGUGUUGGGAACUCUAAGUCGUUUUCGUUGGUGGGAAAAGUAUGCCUCCCAAAAUGUUUUUACUCUCAAUUUUCGCUUUGAGCUCUAGCACCUCUACAAAUCCCUACUUCCCUCUGCGAAGGGACUUCCUUUUACUUUAUGCAAUUUUUAUUUUGAAUUUGAGUCUCCAUCUUCUCUUAUAAAUCACCAACUAAGAGGCACUAUGAUCGUAUUUGAGCAUUGGGUGUAGCUAAUAUGCGAGUGUGUUUCAUGAAUGCAUCAAUGAUCGAGCAUGAUGGGCUAGGGAUAACUUGCUUUAGUGUUGAUAUUUUGAAAGACAUGGUUGCUUGUUGAUAUGCUUGAGUAUUAAAGUCUUCAUGUCAAAACUAGACUAUUGCUUUGAACCAUAUAAAAGUCCAAGUGUCCAUGCUACAAAGAAAAAAAUUAUGUGAUGAACAUGUUAGGCAACAUUCCACAUCAAAAAUUCUCUUUUUAUCAUUUACCUACUCGAGGACGAGCAGGAAUUAAGCUUGGGGAUGCUGAUAUGUCUCCAACGUAUCUAUAAUUUUUGAUUGUUCCAUGCUGUUAUAUUAUCGUUCUUGGAUGUUUUACAAUCAUUUUAUAUCAUUUUUUGGUACUAACCUAUUGACAUAGUGCCGAGUGCCAGUUGCUGUUUUCUGCUUGUUUUUUACGUCGCAGGAAAUCAAUACCAAUCGGAGUCCAAAUGCAGCGAAACUUUUUAUGGAUUUUUUCUGGAUCAGAAGACACCGUAUGGUCCAAAAAAGUACCAGCGAGGUGCUUAGAGGGGAGCACAACCCACCAGGGCGUGCUUGGAGGCCCAAGCGCGCCCAUAUGGGUUGUUCCCACCUCGGUGGCCUCCCGCACCACCUCUUUGCUCUAUACAUACCCCAAUAUUCCAGAAACCCUAGGGGAGUCGGCGAAAAUCAAUUCCAACCACCGCAAGUUACAGAAACACUAUCACUGAGGGGUUCAUCAUGUCCAUUGGUGUUGGGGAUAUGACUAUUGGGUAUGGCCCGCCCAGGAGGGGCCGAGUUAUACCUACGGAGGUUCAUCCAUACAAAGCCCAUGAGGAUGUCAAAGAUGGCGGUUCAUGCAGCAAGGGCCUAAAGACCAAGGGUGACUUAGGGCCCAUAGGGGUAAACCGCCAUAUGUGUAUGACUUAUAUUGUAAGGCAAGUGUAUUUAGUCACCAAGCCGGACACAUUGUCUAUAAGCCGGUCGGGACUCCGUGAGCCGCUGGGCGUCAACCUGUGUAUAUAAAGGGAUGGCCUGACGAUGGUUUAGGGCAAGAAACAAGAGAUCGAAAGCUAGGUCAAGCGUAUUCACUCCCUGGUAAUCGAGACAUAAGCAAUACCAACUCAAACUGGAUUAGGCCUUUACCUUCACCGCAAGGGGCCGAACUAGUAUAAACUCUCUGUGUCCUUUGUCCCUUUUAACCCCUUUAAGCUAACCUAGUUGCGAUGGCUCUAUGAAUAAGUCCUCACACCAGGACAUCUGCCGUGACAAUUCCACGGUAGUUGGCACCCACCAUGGGGCCAGUGCACGGUGGGUUUGAGUUCUUUAAGGGCAGCUUCGAAGGGAUCAAGGGAUACGCUGUGGGCCGGAUGACCAAGAGUCAUCGCAACAAGCUCUACAUCGACGAUGUAGGCUGGGGCCCCGAGGCCGGCUCAAUUGAGUACGGGUAUCGGGUCCCCUUCGGCGGAAUUCACGUCUUCAUCGGCAAGAUCGGUGAGCCGGGCCCUAAGCCAGACAUUUGCACCGACAUCAUCGAGACGGCUCAGCGUGCACGACCCGCCCAAGUUCAGCCCGCCGUGAAACGUGCCUUCGUGAGAUUCAUCCAUGGGGCAAAAGAGGAAGGAUCCAUGUCUGGCGGUGAGAUGACCAUCUAUUUUGAUGGUGAGUCAUCCACGGGCAAGACUACUUCAUUGUAUCAACUGCAAGAUGGCAGGCUUGGGGGCUGUUUUGAUGGCGACAGUAUUCCAGACCCCUAUGAGCCGCCGAAUAGGGUCGCAAUCUUCAUGGCCGAUACACAACCCACGCAGAAUUCUUCGACUGUGGCAUCAUUGGUCUCCGGGUCAGCAACAACGAUGGCAGCUGGGGCAAAGGCCCUGUGUGUCCACCAACUCAGGUUUUGACUGAUUUACUAGAUAAUUUGACGGCCUUGUUAACAACAGAGGUUAACCCAGCAAAUCAAGUUCAGCAUAAUGCGGAAGUUGCAAAGCUGCAUGACGAGGUAGCGCAAGCCAAGGAAGAUCUGGCGGCGGAGAACGCUAGGAUGACUGCAGAGCGAGCUAUUUUGGAUGCUCAGGCACAACGGAUCCAGGCUAAUUCUUUUCGGCUCUCGUUGUAUCGGAACGCUUCAAACAAAAUCAUGAGAAGAAGGCACCGGAGUCGUCUGCCGCUGGGUUACGAGGCGAGGAACCUCUUUUGGACGCCUGGAGCAGGGAUCAGUAACCAACCAGAUAUAAACCGGUUGAAGUGCCUGGGGCUGGAGCACCAGCUCAACCGCGCAUGACGGAGCCGCCUCUUCUGAAUAAUACUCCGCCUUAGUAUGUGCCAACACCACCGGGUCAUUAUUCCAACCCUUUGGAUAAUAUGAUCGCUGCGGCGACACGAUUGGCGGCUCUCCCAGUUGAAGGCAGUUCUCUAGCUGUGGUUGAGACGCAGAGGGCUAGAGAGCUUCUUCAAACAAUAUUGGUACAACAUGAGGCAUAUUCUUACAGCCGAGAGAGGAUUCAUUCGAACCCACUCCCAAGCCGGAGUUAUAGCAGACACAUGGACUCACCGGCCGUUUCAAGCAAUGACAGGCGUCGUAACCAGCUGCGUGGGCUUGACCCGGCGCGUGAUGGUGCUCGGGAUUUGGUGGAUCAGGGCAAGGCAUGUCAAGAAGCUGAGCAGGCAGCUCAUCAACAUCUUCCGGUUUAUCCGACGACUUCAGUGGAGGUGGGCGUGACCUCUAGAACCACGGGUAUACCAUGUUUAGCGUCGGCUCUAUGGAAUGAGCGUCUUGACGGUGUCUUGGACUAGGGGGUACUCAUCACGUCAUCUCCCAAUCAGUUAGAUUGGCCCGAGGACCCCCAUGGCCGUAUACUCAUGGGCCAGUUCGGACAGUUGCCGCAUACAAGGAAGAUUCCACAAGACUUGGUGAUCAAGACAAGGAAUCCUCCCCACUGGCGUAUUCGGCUAGGACUCUUGUUAUCCUAGGCCUCUGGUACAUUAUAUAAAUCGAGGCUAGUCUAGUCGAUAGAUUAUGACAUUACUCAUCAUACCUCCAGGUUUUAGACCACAACAUAUAAUCUCGAGGUAGAUCAACUCUUGUAACCCCUAUACUCAUUAUAGUCAAUCAAACAACAUGUAGGGUAUUAUCUUAUCAAGAGAGCCUGAAGCUGGGUAAAAUCCCAUGUUCAUGUUGCCAUUGAUCCUAAGACGCACAGCUUGGGACCCCCUACCCGAGAUCCGCCGGUUUUGACACCGACAUUGGUGCUUUCAUUGAGAGUUCCGCUGUGUGAUCGGUGAAAGGAUCAAUGGCUCGACUGCAGGUCAACUGCGACGUCGGUUUCUUCAUCACCAGCUCGACUGGUCACCUUGGCUUGAUCGAGGACUGUGCCCUACCUCCGAUCGUCAUGUUUGGAUGAGGGCCUUCAUGAACAUCAACUGUGAUCUCUAUCAAAAUCAUGGAGGAGUCAUCCAUGAAGAUCGGGGGCUCAACGUCAACAUUGCCCUCGGGCGACCGUGCUGUUUUUCUGGACAGCAAACUCGUAUCCGCCGCCACCGCCUCCUCGAGUGUCUCCUAAACGAUUGCUUCGGUGGAAGUAUGCGGAAUUAAGUCUACAACAAUCCUGCAAAAAUUUCGUCGAGUUCCGAUGGAGGAAUCUCCGGCAAUCUCCGAUAUACCGGAACCCUGUUGAAUCUGGACGAGAAUCCGGACGAGUUUGGAGCGGGGUGUACAGCAUCUAUCUCGGACGUCCUUUGGAAGAUCCAACCGUUGAUCGGAUAUGGAAUUCUCAUAUUUACCACCUGCCAAAAA
rnacentral:lncRNA from 1 species